UGUUCAAGUGUUCUCUAGGGGACGGACAAAUAUGUUAUUGAGGAUUAUAUGAUAUAACGUUAGCACGAGUGUGGUGACUACGGGGCAUUUUAUCUCAAGAUCCCAGAGUUAAGUGAAGAAUGCACGGCAUGUCAAUUGAGACUCGUAGCUUCGUCGUAUUUGUCAUAGUACAUUGGUGUAUCCGGCAAAAGAAACUAAUAGGUGGUCCGGGUACAACUGUUGAGAUCGACGAAGCAAAGUUCAGCAAAAGAAAGUAUAAUGUAGGCCGGGUUGUCGAGGGUCAGUGGGUUCUUGGUGGGGUCUGUAGGCAGACCAGGGAGUUUGUAGUGCCAGUAAAAAACAGGAGUGCCGCAACUUUGCUUACCGUGAUUAAGGACUACAUUGUACUGGGGACCACUGUUAUUUCUGACUGCUGGAAGGCUUUUGAUUGCCUGGCGGACGAAGGCUACGCCCACUUGACUCAACCAUUCCAUCAACUUUGUGUACCCAGUAACCGGUGCCCACACAAAUACAAUUGAAAGGCGGUGGAAGGAACUUAGUGAGGCAACGCCUCGG